UUGGUACUCCCUCCGUCCGGAAAUACUUGUCGGAAAAAUGGAUAAAAAUGAAUGUAUCUAAAACUAAAAUACGUCUAGAUACACCCAUUCCUCCGACAAGUAUUUUCGGACGGAGGGAGUACUAU
rnacentral:pre_miRNA from 1 species